rnacentral:lncRNA from 1 species
ACUAUUAGGCUAAGGUGCUUCCACGACUCUAUCUUUGUCAUAUAAUUUAUUUUGCAGCUUUUUUGUUGUUGUUGUUGUGUUAAUUUACUAUGUGGAUUGUUAUUCGCAUUUGUUGAAACCUGGGCCUUAUCGGCCCAAUUAUUUUUACGAUUGUUUGUGGUUUACCCACACAAAUGCACCGGAAAUGUAGAGCCAACCAAUUAUCUUCACUUGGUUUUCUAAUUGAUCUACUAAUUUCUAAUUUCUCAUUUCUUUUAUUUUUUAUUUUUUUUUUCUUUUUAAAAGUUUUUGAUGAAAAGUAUUUGAGAAAAAAAAUAUUUCACUCUUUUGAAGAAACUAUGUAAAUGAUGAUUGCUUAUAUAACUUAAGUGUAAUUAUAUAAUGUGUGAAUACUAAACAAACAUGAUAGCUGUUAAUUAAUUUUUAUUGAUAGUUAGAGAUAAACAUAUUUGUUUUGAUUCUUACGCUAGUUAGUUUUCAAAGAAAAACUUUUCAUCAAAUUUUAUUAGGACAAGUAAUAUUUUGAUAAAUUUUUUUUCACCUAUAUAUAAUGUAUACAUUAAAAUAUUAUAUUUUUAUACGUUAAAAACUUUAACAUUUAAGAAAAUUUAUGAAUCAAUAAUAGAAAAAUAUAAAAUUUUAUCCGGAAAACUUUCCACAAAAUGCAUAAACAAAAAACAAACAAACCCUAAACCCUAUAAUCCUAAGCAUUAUUCUAAACUAAACCCUAAAUCCAACCUAAACUAUAAUCCUAAACGCUAAACCUCUCCUACUACCUAAACCCUAAAUCCUACCUAAGCCGAAACACUACCUAAACCUAACCCUUAACCCUUUCUAAACUUAAACCCUACAUAAACCUAACCCUAAUCCCUAAACCCUUCUACUACCUAAACUCUAAACCUAUCUAACCCUAAACCCUUCCUAACCCUAAAACCCUACCUAAAACCUAAACCUAACCCUAAACCCUACCUAACUCUAAACCCUAUCUAACCCUAAACCCUACUAACCCAAAACCCUUUCUAACCCUAAACCCUAAACCCUACCUAACCCUAAACCCUUUCUAACCCUAAACACUACCAAACCCUGAACCCUACCUAACCCUAAACCCUUUCCAACCCUAAACCCUUUCUAUCCAUAAACCCUUUCUAACCCUAAACCCUACCUAACCCUAAACCAUUUCUAACCCUAAACCCUACCUAACACAAAACCCUUUCUAACCUUAAACCCUACCAAACCCUAAACCCUACCAAACCCUAAAUCCUACCAAACCCUAAACCCUACCUAACCCUAAACCCUUUCUAACCCUAAACCCUACCUAACCCUAAACCCUUUGUAACCCUAAACCCUACCUAACCCUAAACCCUACUAACCCUAAACCCUACCUAACCCUCAAUCCUAUCUAACCCUAAACCCUACCUAACCCUAAACCCUACCUAACACUAAACCCUUUCUAACCCUAAACCCUACCUAACCCUAAACCCUACUAACCCUAAACCCUACCUAACCCUAAAUCCUUUCUAACCCUAAACCCUACUAACCCUAAACCCUACCUAACACUAAACCCUAUCUAACCCUAAACCCAUUCUAACCCUAAACCCUACUAACCCUAAACCCUACUAACCCUACUAACCAUAAACCCUUUCUAACCCUAAACCCUACUAACCCUAAAUCCUAUCUAACCCUAACUUUUUCUAACCCUAACUUUUUCUAACCCUAAACCCUACUAACCCUAAACCCUACUAACCCUAAACCCUUUCUAACCCUAACUUUUUCUAACCCUAACUUUUUCUAACCCUAACUUUUUCUAACCCUAACUUUUUCUAACCCUAACUUUUUCUAACCCUAACUUUUUCUAACCCUAACUUUUUCUAACCCUAACUUUUUCUAACCCUAACUUUUUCUAACCCUAACUUUUUCUAACCCUAACUUUUUCUAACCCUAAACCCUACUAACCCUCCCUAUCUAACCCUAACUUUUUCUAACCCUAAACCCUACUAACCCUAAACCCUACUAACCCUAAACCCUAAAACCCUACCUAACCCUAAAUCCUACAUGUAUAUUUUUUAUGUAUUUGACAUAUGGAGUAGAAUAUACAGAUUUACUUAAACCCUACUAACCCUAAACCCUACUAACCGUAAAUCCUGUCUAAACCUAACCCUAAAACCCUACCUAACCCUAAACCUUACCUAACCCUAAACACUUUCUAACCCUAAACCCUACUAACCCUAAACCCUGCAUAAACCUAACCCUAAAACCUUACCUAACCCUAAACCCUACUUAACCCUAAACCCUACUUAACCCUAAACCCUUUCUAACCCUAAACCCUACUAACCCUAAACCCUGCCUAAACCUAACCCUAAAACCCUACCUAACCCU